GCUGGGAGAGAGGAGUGAGAAAAUGAGAGCAGCAGCCCUGCAGCCCCCAAGCUGUAACCUUUUCAGUAUUCAAUGGCAAAAAUGGCCCACGGGAAUUUUCUGAUUAACAUGCAAGAACAAGUGGCAAGGGAACAUAAUUACUUUUGUGAUACGGCAUUGUUCCCACUGAGCUGACACCAGAUGCCUGUGUAGUUUAACAAACAGCACUGAUAAGUGGCACUUUUGAUAGGAAUGAGCCAGUUGCAUAUGCUAAAUAAAGUAGCCAGCAGAGACUCUAACUUUUUAAAGAGAUUCCAAAAGACACCAGAGAGGGAUUAUAAAUUGCUUCUGGUGUCAGUAUGAUUUAAUCAUCCCGAGGUCCGAAUUUCAUUAUGGAAAGUAACAGUGCCAUUGGCUUUGAGUAUCAAAAACAUUGUAACCUUCAGAAACAAAAGUUCAGUCAUGGGAUGUUGUUCCUUUGAUAUAGAUAUUCUUCAAGAAAAGGAAACUGCAAUCUUAUUACUGCUUUUUUUUUUUUUUUUUUUUUUUUUCCAUAAAAUGCUUUCUGUGUAAACACGUGCGUUUGCUCCCAGUGCAUAAUACAAAAUAUAUUUUAAUACGAUUUAUCUAUUAGUUAUGUGAGCUCACAAUUCAGUGACAUACAUGUCAUGGUUGAUCUGUAUCAAGAUAUUUGUAGAGGUGAGUUACCGAGUUACAAAUUGAAUUGUCUGUAUGAAAUGCUCCUAUCUUUGAAUGAAGGAGAAACCAAAGUUUCAAGAAACAGGUAUCGUGCCACAAAGCCACAUGUAGCCAAAGCUCAAAAAAGCAUUAAAUCUGUUCAAAAUCAAGGGUUGAAACAUUACAUUCAAAAAGAUCCUGUGCCAUGUAGUUUAACUUCUUUACCUCCACAAUCAGAAUAAAUCUGGUGACCAUCUACAGGUAAUGGGAAAAAGAUGGGACCUGGGGGAGGUUAUGGUAAAGCUGCACCUACACAAUGAGGCAAAUUUGGACUUCGGCAUUGGAGCAAAGCACGCUGAGUCUUACAGAGAGCUGUAGGAGGCCUCAUGGCCAAUCUGCCCUCUUUAUGCGGGAACUUCUACCAGCCCACUGGGGAGCAAACAGUAUACACAGGUUUCAGCCUAGAAGAUGGUAUGUUUGUACUGCCAAC